rnacentral:rRNA from 1 species
ACGCUGGCGGCGUGCCUAAUACAUGCAAGUCGAACGCCUUGUGACUUUAAUGAAUAGCGUGCUUGCACAAUAUGAUUUAAAACAAUGCAAGGAGUGGCGAACGGGUGAGUAACACGUGGGAAACCUACCUCUUAGCAGGGGAUAACAUUUAGAAACAGAUGCUAAUACCGUAUAACACUAAAAACCGCAUGGUUUUUAUUUGAAAGAUGGUUCUGCUAUCACUAAAGAGAUGGUCCCGCGGUGCAUUAGUUAGAUGGUGAGGUAAUGGCUCACCAUGACGAUGAUGCGUAGCCGAGUUGAGAGACUGAUCGGCCACAAUGGGACUGAGACACGGCCCAUACUCCUACGGGAGGCAGCAGUAGGGAAUCUUCCACAAUGGGCGCAAGCCUGAUGGAGCAACGCCGCGUGUGUGAUGAAGGGUUUCGGCUCGUAAAGCACUGUUGUAAGAGAAGAACGUACUUGAGAGUAACUGUUCAAGUAGUGACGGUAUCUUACCAGAAAGGGACGGCUAAAUACGUGCCAGCAGCCGCGGUAAUACGUAUGUCCCAAGCGUUAUCCGGAUUUAUUGGGCGUAAAGCGAGCGCAGACGGUUAUUUAAGUCUGAAGUGAAAGCCCUCAGCUCAACUGAGGAAUUGCUUUGGAAACUGGAUGACUUGAGUGCAGUAGAGGAAAGUGGAACUCCAUGUGUAGCGGUGAAAUGCGUAGAUAUAUGGAAGAACACCAGUGGCGAAGGCGGCUUUCUGGACUGUAACUGACGUUGAGGCUCGAAAGUGUGGGUAGCAAAC